CCUACAUUUUUUCUUAGAGGCAUUGCCCUAAAGCAAAUAUUUAAAUGGCUGAGCUAACUGACUAGCUGACAACUUUAGCCCGACUUCAUCCCUGAAUUCUGUUUUUUACAGAAAAAAAUUGAACCAUGAUACAUCUGUCAGUUCAUUUUAGAAUGCAACUCUUGCAUCAAAAUCCACUGAUCAAACCGGAAGGGUUUAUGAUUCCUACAGACUGAGCUUUUUUUAAACCAAAGAUGGUUUGGUUCAGAAUGAGACAUAAACGUUUCAGUGCAGCUAUUUAAAAGUUUCAACAGGUUUAGUGUCUGCUGUUUACUUUUCAGUAGAAACAGUCUGAUUUGCAAAAGCAGUAGAAAAGGAGCCCAUAAAACUCCCAUUAAAAGGAAGGUGAGGAGGCACAAAUAACCAAAGAGGUAUAGGCUACAAGAUAAAAGUCAGGAGAAAAAAGACAGAUCUCACAGAUCAUGAAAUCCAGAAUAAAGAAUACCAGUUACACUGUCAGUCUGUUUUUUGCCUUCAUCACACUUGUGUUCCUCUGUGUAGGUUAGCUGUGGCUCUCCUGGAGGACUCCGCCCCCUCCUUGGUGGCCCUCCAUGGAGUUGCACACAGCUGCCUGCACUUUAGGUUAAUUUGUUAGAGCUGUAUUUAAGUGAUUCUGUUUCAGCACUCUGUGUUGGAGUGUGGCUUGUUCAAUUCUAGCACUAGUUUUGCUUGAUGAUUUUUGUAGUAUGGGUUUUGUUAUUAAAUACUUUAGUUCUCACUGUGGCGUGUCUUCUGCUCCUGCAUCUGGGCCAUUCUGAUAUACCGUAACAACCAGAGCUAAGUAUCCCCAACCAGAGAGACUCGCAAAUCAACUUUUCCAAAUCCAGUGUCACCAAAACUCCUGCAGAGAAA